rnacentral:tRNA from 1 species
CUAGGUAUAGGAUAAUGGAAAUCCACUACAUUUGGGAUGUAGACAUUGUAGGUUCGAGUCCUACUACCUAGA